CGACGAAUCUUCCGCAAUGGGCGAAAGCCUGACGGAGCGAUGCCGCGUGUGGGAUGAAGCGCCUUUGGUGUGUAAACCACUGUCAGGAGAUAGAAACACUGAUCAUCUCCAGAGGAAGGGGCGACUAACUCUGUGCCAGCAGUCGCGGUAAUACAGAGGCCCCGAGCGUUAAUCGGAAUCACUGGGCUUAAAGGGUGCGUAGGCGGACUCGUAAGUGUCGUGUGAAAGCCCACUGCUUAACGGUGGAACCGCACGGCAAACUGCAAGUCUCGAGGAAGGUAGAGGCCGGUAGAACGAUUGGUGGAGCGGUGGAAUGCGUAGAUAUCAAUCGGAAUGCCAAAGGUGAAGACAGCCGGCUGGGCCUUUCCUGACGCUGAGGCACGAAAGCGUGGGGAGCAUACAGGAUUAGAUACCCCUGUAGUCCCUGAGCGGGCUGGCAAGGCGCAU
rnacentral:rRNA from 1 species